UGGGGAAUAUUGCACAAUGGGCGAAAGCCUAAUGCAGCAACGCCGCGUGAGUGAUGAAGGUCUUCGGAUUGUAAAGCUCUGUCUUUUGGGACGAUAAUGACGGUACCAAAGGAGGAAGCCACGGCUAACUACGUGCCAGCAGCCGCGGUAAUACGUAGGUGGCGAGCGUUGUCCGGAUUUACUGGGCGUAAAGGGUGCGUAGGCGGAUGUUUAAGUGAGAUGUGAAAUACCCGGGCUUAACUUGGGUGCUGCAUUUCGAACUGGAUAUCUAGAGUGCAGGAGAGGAGAAUGGAAUUCCUAGUGUAGCGGUGAAAUGCGUAGGGAUUAGGAAGAACACCAGUGGCGAAGGCGAUUCUCUGGACUGUAACUGACGCUGAGGCACGAAAGCGUGGGUAGCAAACAGGAUUAGAUACCCUGGUAGUCCACGCCGUAAACGAUGAGUACUAGGUGUAGGAGGUAUCGACCCCUUCUGUGCCGCAGUAAACACAUUAAGUACUCCGCCUGGGAAGUACGAUCGCAAGAUU
rnacentral:rRNA from 1 species